rnacentral:rRNA from 1 species
GGAGGCCUAACACAUGCAAGUCGAGGGGUAACGGAAGUAGCUUGCUACCAGACGACGACCGGCGCACGGGUGAGUAACGCGUAUGUAAUCUGCCUUGUACAGAGGGAUAGCCCAGAGAAAUUUGGAUUAAUACCUCAUAGUAUUACUGAAUCGCAUGAUUCGGUAAUUAAAGCUCCGGCGGUACAAGAUGAACAUGCGUGACAUUAGCUAGUUGGUAAGGUAACGGCUUACCAAGGCCACGAUGUCUAGGGGUUCUGAGAGGAUGAUCCCCCACACUGGUACUGAGACACGGACCAGACUCCUACGGGAGGCAGCAGUGAGGAAUAUUGGUCAAUGGACGCAAGUCUGAACCAGCCAUCCCGCGUGAAGGAUGACUGCCCUAUGGGUUGUAAACUUCUUUUAUAUGCAAAUAAACCUACUUUCGUGAAAGUAGCUGAAGGUAGCAUAUGAAUAAACACCGGCUAACUCCGUGCCAGCAGCCGCGGUAAUACGGAGGGUGUAAGCGUUAUCCGGAUUUAUUGGGUUUAAAGGGUACGUAGGCGGUAAUAUAAGUCAGUGGUGAAAUCCUGCAGCUCAACUGUAGAACUGCCAUUGAAACUGU